rnacentral:tRNA from 1 species
UCCUCGGUAGUAUAGUGGUGAGGUAUCCCGCCUGUCACGCGGGAGACCGGGGUUCGAUUCCCCGCUGGGGAG